GCCUGGGUGGCUCAGUGGUUGAGCGUCUGCCUUUAGCUCAGAUCAUGAUCCCAGGAUGCUGGGAUCAAGUCCUGCAUCAGGCU
rnacentral:tRNA from 1 species